rnacentral:rRNA from 1 species
AUUGAACGCUGGCGGCAUGCCUUACACAUGCAAGUCGAACGGUAACAGGUCUUCGGAUGCUGACGAGUGGCGAACGGGUGAGUAAUACAUCGGAACGUGCCUAGUAGUGGGGGAUAACUACUCGAAAGAGUGGCUAAUACCGCAUGAGAUCUACGGAUGAAAGCAGGGGAUCGCAAGACCUUGUGCUACUAGAGCGGCCGAUGGCAGAUUAGGUAGUUGGUGGGAUAAAAGCUUACCAAGCCGACGAUCUGUAGCUUGUCUGAGAGGACGAUCAGCCACACUGGGACUGAGACACGGCCCAGACUCCUACGGGAGGCAGCAGUGAGGAAUUUUGGACAAUGGGCGCAAGCCUGAUCCAGCAAUGCCGCGUGCAGGAUGAAGGCCUUCGGGUUGUAAACUGCUUUUGUACGGAACGAAAAGCCCUGGGUUAAUACCCUGGGGUCAUGACGGUACCGUAAGAAUAAGCACCGGCUAACUACGUGCCAGCAGCCGCAGUAACAC